UACGUAGGGGCCGAGCGUUGUCCGGAGUACUGGGCGUAAAGCGCGCGCAGGCGGCUCGUCAAGCCUGACGUGAAAGCCCCCGGCUCAACCGGGGAGGGUCGUCGGGGACUGGCGGGCUUGAGGUCGGCAGGGGUUGGUGGGAUUCCCGGUGUAGUGGUGAAAUGCGUAGAGAUCGGGAGGAACACCCGUGGCGAAGGCGGCCAACUGGGCCGGACCUGACGCUGAGGCGCGAAGGCGUGGGAAGCGAACGGG
rnacentral:rRNA from 1 species